rnacentral:rRNA from 1 species
GAUGAACGCUGGCGGCGUGCCUAAUACAUGCAAGUCGAGCGAACGGACGAGAAGCUUGCUUUUCUGAUGUUAGCGGCGGACGGGUGAGUAACACGUGGAUAACCUACCUAUAAGACUGGGAUAACUUCGGGAAACCGGAGCUAAUACCGGAUAAUAUUUUGAACCGCAUGGUUCAAAAGUGAAAGACGGUCUUGCUGUCACUUAUAGAUGGAUCCGCGCUGCAUUAGCUAGUUGGUAAGGUAACGGCUUACCAAGGCAACGAUGCAUAGCCGACCUGAGAGGGUGAUCGGCCACACUGGAACUGAGACACGGUCCAGACUCCUACGGGAGGCAGCAGUAGGGAAUCUUCCGCAAUGGGCGAAAGCCUGACGGAGCGACGCCGCGUGAGUGAUGAAGGUCUUCGGAUCGUAAAACUCCGUUAUUAGGGAAGAACAUAUGUGUAAGUAACUGUGCACAUCUUGACGGUACCUAAUCAGAAAGCCACGGCUAACUACGUG